rnacentral:rRNA from 1 species
UACGUAGGGUGCGAGCGUUGUCCGGAUUUAUUGGGCGUAAAGAGCUCGUAGGCGGCUCGUCGCGUCGACCGUGAAAACCCGCGGCUUAACUGCGGGCUUGCGGUUGAUACGGGCGGGCUAGAGUUCGGUAGGGGAGACUGGAAUUCCUGGUGUAGCGGUGAAAUGCGCAGGUAUCAGGAGGAACACCGGUGGCGAAGGCGGGUCUCUGGGCCGAUACUGACGCUGAGGAGCGAAAGCGUGGGGAGCGAACAGG